rnacentral:rRNA from 1 species
UACGCAGGGUCCGAGCGUUGUCCGGAAUUAUUGGGCGUAAAGGGCUCGUAGGCGGUUUGUCGCGUCGGGCGUGAAAACACGGGGCUUAACCCCGUGCCUGCUUCCGAUACGGGCAGACUAGAGGUAUGCAGGGGAGAACGGAAUUCCUGGUGUAGCGGUGAAAUGCGCAGAUAUCAGGAGGAACACCGGUGGCGAAGGCGGUUCUCUGGGCAUUACCUGACGCUGAGGAGCGAAAGUGUGGGGAGCGAACAGG